rnacentral:rRNA from 1 species
UACGGAGGGUGCAAGCGUUGUCCGGAAUCACUGGGCGUAAAGGGCGCGUAGGCGGCUCAUGAAGGCUGUGGUGAAAGUCCGGGGCUCAACCUCGGAUCGGCCGUGGCGACUCGUGGGCUGGAGCACUGUAGAGGCAGGUGGAAUUCCGGGUGUAGCGGUGGAAUGCGUAGAGAUCCGGAAGAACACCAGUGGCGAAGGCGGCCUGCUGGGCAGUGACUGACGCUGAGGCGCGAAAGCGUGGGGAGCAAACAGG